AACUUUGUGAUUUCUUAGGCUGUACAGGCUGGCACUUGAAGAAUAUUUAUGAUUUAUGUUCAUUCGGGAGUCCUAUUUAAUAAUUUCCCUGUACAAAAAUAGAACCCAGUACGCGCCUGGUUCUGUUAUUCAGUGUAUACAUUGCCCCCUACUUAUUUUCGUAAACCCUAACACGAAACGUAUAAUUCGAAUUCAGAGUGCGCAAUAUACUAAUCUGAAAAGU